rnacentral:rRNA from 1 species
AAAUAUUCCAUUACUUCUGUGUAAUGCGAUGAGAGGACGGAGAAGGCUAAAUCAGCCUGGCGUUGGUUGUCCAGGUGAAAGGAUGUAGGCAUGUAUCUUAGGCAAAUCCGGGGUACUCUAUGCUGAGAUCUGAUAGCAAGCUGUACUUGUAUAGCGAAGUGGUUGAUGCCAUGCUUCCAGGAAAAGUCUCUAAGCUUCAGUUACACAGGAAUCGUACCCGAAACCGACACAGGUGGUCAGGUCGAGUAGACCAAGGCGCUUGAGAGAACUCUGCUGAAGGAACUAGGCAAAAUGGUACCGUAACUUCGGGAGAAGGUACGCUGUUGUUGGUGAUGGAACUCGCUUCCUGAGCUGACGACAGCCGCAGAAACCAGGCCGCUGCAACUGUUUAUUAAAAACAUAGCACUCUGCAAACACGAAAGUGGACGUAUAGGGUGUGAUGCCUGCCCGGUGCUGGAAGGUUAAUUGAUGGGGUUAGCGUAAGCGAAGCUCUUGAUCGAAGCCCCAGUAAACGGCGGCCGUAACAAUAACGGUCCUAAGGUAGCGAAAUUCCUUGUCGGGUAAGUUCCGACCUGCACGAAUGGCAUAAUGAUGGCGGCGCUGUCUCCAGCAGAGGCUCAGUGAAAUCGAAAUCGCUGUGAAGAUGCAGUGUACCCGCGGCUAGACGGAAAGACCCCGUGAACCUUUACUGCAGCUUGACACUGAACUUUGACCUUACUUGUGUAGGAUAGGUGGGAGGCUUUGAAGCUGGAACGCUAGUUCCAGUGGAGCCGUCCUUGAAAUACCACCCUGGUAAUGUUGAGGUUCUAACUCUGUCCCGUGAUCCGGGACGAGGACCGUGUCUGGUGGGUAGUUUGACUGGGGCGGUCUCCUCCUAAAGAGUAACGGAGGAGUACGAAGGUGCGCUCAGCGUGGUCGGAAACCACGCGUAGAGUAUAAAGGCAAAAGCGCGCUUAACUGCGAGACCCACAAGUCGAGCAGGUACGAAAGUAGGUCUUAGUGAUCCGGUGGUUCUGUAUGGAAGGGCCAUCGCUCAACGGAUAAAAGGUACUCUGGGGAUAACAGGCUGAUACCGCCCAAGAGUUCAUAUCGACGGCGGUGUUUGGCACCUCGAUGUCGGCUCAUCUCAUCCUGGGGCUGAAGCAGGUCCCAAGGGUAUGGCUGUUCGCCAUUUAAAGAGGUACGCGAGCUGGGUUUAGAACGUCGUGAGACAGUGCGGUCCCUAUCUACCGUGGGCGCUGGAAAUUUGAGAGGAUCUGCUCCUAGUACGAGAGGACCAGAGUGGACGAACCUCUGGUGUACCGGUUGUGACGCCAGUCGCAUCGCCGGGUAGCUAUGUUCGGAAGGGAUAACCGCUGAAAGCAUCUAAGCGGGAAGCCUACCUCAAGAUAAGAUUUCCCUAGGACUUUAUGUCCUCUAAAGAGCCGUUCGAGACUAGGACGUUGAUAGGUUGGAUGUGGAAGCAUGGUGAUAUGUGAAGCUGACCAAUACUAAUUGCUCGUGAGGCUUGACU